rnacentral:sRNA from 1 species
GAGGGAGAAAGCCCGCAAGGGUGAGUAAACCGGCGAUUGGGCGCGUAACACGUGGAUAAUCUACCUUCCUGACUGGAAUAACUGGCCGAAAGGCUUGCUAAUACCGGAUAAGCCCACGGGUUCUCUGGAGCCCGAGGGAAAAGGUGGCCUCUGUACACAAGCUAUCGCAGGGAGAUGAGUCCGCGGCCCAUCAGCUCGUUGGCGGGGUAAAAGCCCACCAAGGCAACGACGGGUAGCUGGUCUGAGAGGAUGAUCAGCCACACUGGAACUGAGACACGGUCCAGACUCCUACGGGAGGCAGCAGUGGG